GCGCGAAAACUUUACAAUGCGGGAAACCGUGAUAAGGGAAUCUCGCGUGCCAGCAUAUAAUGUUGGCUGUCCAGAUGCCUAAAAAGCAUCUGUUAGCAAGGGCCGGGCAAGACCGGUGCCAGCCGCCGCGGUAACACCGGCGGCCCGAGUGGUAACCGCUUUUAUUGGGUCUAAAGGGUCUGUAGCCGGCCAAGUAAGUCCCUUGGGAAAUCUGGCGGCUCAACUGUCAGGCUGCUAGGGGAUACUGCUAGGCUUGGGACCGGGAGAGGUGAGAGGUACCUUGGGGGUAGGGGUGAAAUCUUGUGAUCCUCGGGGGACCACCAGUGGCGAAGGCGUCUCACCAGAACGGGUCCGACGGUAAGGGACGAAAGCUAGGGGCACGAACCG
rnacentral:rRNA from 1 species